rnacentral:lncRNA from 1 species
CAAGCAAGUCAGAGGACAGAAGAGCUGAGCCACCGUGCGGGAGCGACUGGACCGAAGGUGAAAGACUGGGUGUGCUAGACAGCCGAGGGUCUCAGCAAUCUCCUCACACAGGUUCUUUCAUGGACCAUGUUCUGACAUCUUGUCCACUCAACCCGCCCAGGCAAAGUUUGUCAGAGAACCGCUGUGUAAAUAUCAAGAAGCUAUAAACAGCAUGGCCUCGGGGUGAAACCUGCCUGAGGGUUAGAGUCCAGCUGCUGCGCUCACCAAGUAAGUGACAGGGAGAAGUGAAUGGAGAAACUGCUGGAGGAAAGGGUUCUCUUGGAAAGAGAACACAAAAGCAUUUUUAGAAAAAAAAAAUCUACGUGGGGUGCUGGAAGUGCAUGAAUUAGGAAAUUCCGGGUGUUGUGUGCAGUGUGUCCCUUUAUACCACAAUUUCAUCGAAAUUUCAGCAGAAUCCAUACAGCACAAAUAGGCAUGGACUCAUAAAUAUAGAAUAAUUUCCAACUUUGUCUGUAUGCUGCAAUCACCUAAAGAGCUUCUAAUAAAUGGCCACUGCGCUGGCUUAGAUCCCAAA